AAAGUGCCGGUCAAAUCUCCAUUUGCUG
rnacentral:sRNA from 1 species